GGUGUAGUGGCCGAGUGGUCUAAGGCGACUGACUCAAGAUCAGUUUCUCGAAAGAGAGCAGGGGUUCGAAUCCCUUCUGCACUA
rnacentral:tRNA from 1 species